GUAGUCCACGCCCUAAACGAUGUCGACUGGUUGUUGGGGGUUUGACACUCUCAGUAACGAAGCUAACGCGUGAAGUCGACCGCCUGGGGAGUACGGCCGCAAGGUUAAAACUCAAAGGAAUUGACGGGGACCCGCACAAGCGGUGGAUUAUGUGGAUUAAUUCGAUGCAACGCGAAAAACCUUACCUACCCUUGACAUGUCCGAGAGCCUGAAGAGAUUUGGGUGUGCCCGAAAGGGAAUCGGAACACAGGUGCUGCAUGGCUGUCGUCAGCUCGUGUCGUGAGAUGUUGGGUUAAGUCCCGCAACGAGCGCAACCCUUGUCAUUAGUUGCUCCAUUCAGUUGAGCACUCUAAUGAGACUGCCGGUGACAAACCGGAGGAAGGUGGGGAUGACGUCAAGUCCUCAUGGCCCUUAUGGGUAGGGCUUCACACGUCAUACAAUGGUCGGUACAGAGGGUAGCCAACCCGCGAGGGGGAGCCAAUCCCAGAAAGCCGAUCGUAGUCCGGAUCGCAGUCUGCAACUCGACUGCGUGAAGUCGGAAUCGCUAGUAAUCGCGGAUCAGCAUGUCGCGGUGAAUACGUUCCCGGGUCUUGUACACACCCCCCGUCACACCAUGGGAGUGGAAUCCGCCAGAAGUAGGUAGUCUAACCGCAAGGGGGACGCUUACCACGGUAGGUUUCAUGACUGGGGUG
rnacentral:rRNA from 1 species